UACGGGGGGGGCAAGCGUUGUUCGGAAUUACUGGGCGUAAAGGGCUCGUAGGCGGCCAACUAAGUCAGACGUGAAAUCCCUCGGCUUAACCGGGGAACUGCGUCUGAUACUGGAUGGCUUGAGAUUGGGAGAGGGAUGCGGAAUUCCAGGUGUAGCGGUGAAAUGCGUAGAUAUCUGGAGGAACACCGGCGGCGAAGGCGGCAUCCUGGACCAACACUGACGCUGAGGAGCGAAAGCCAGGGGAGCAGACGGG
rnacentral:rRNA from 1 species